GGGCGUUUGGCACAGUGGUAGCGCGCACGCUUUGCAUCUCCUAUGGAUAAUGAAUGCGUGAGGUCGAGGGUUCAAACCCCCCAACGUCCA